CUUACGGCUGGGGUAUUUAUGGAGUGUAACUCAAGGGAAGUUGCAGUGUUGGAAUUCCAAAUCUACUGUAUAGACGAUAAAAUUGAUGAACAUUAUUAUCUUUUUGAAAAUUUAACUACUCGUCAUUUGUACAAUUCCUUGUACCCCAAAUCCAGCUAUGAAUCAUUCGCUAAUACCAACCUUUCUUGCUCAGUAUUAAUCACGAGUCCAGUCACCUAUGAAGUUUUUGUAAUGAAUGGAGGAGAUGGAGAUUGUGUAGGUAUUCAAUUAAGAAGUGACGAUGGUACUGACUUAUAUCCCACAAACAGAACAACUUGCAACUACGACCUCACUUCAGACACAGUAACCAUCGAUAAAAACUUUACCCUUCAUUUGUUUACCAACGACACGCUAGCAACCGGCGUGAAUGCUACUGUACUUGUGGUACUUAGUUCAAAAGAUAACUUCACUAUCUGGUGUCCAGGAUACCCAAUAACAACCACAGUUCCAACUACUACAGUUCCAACAACAAC